AGUGAACGCUGGCGGUAGGCCUAACACAUGCAAGUCGAACGGCAGCACAGUAAGAGCUUGCUCUUACGGGUGGCGAGUGGCGGACGGGUGAGGAAUACAUCGGAAUCUACUUUUUCGUGGGGGAUAACGUAGGGAAACUUACGCUAAUACCGCAUACGACCUACGGGUGAAAGCAGGGGAUCUUCGGACCUUGCGCGAUUGAAUGAGCCGAUGUCGGAUUAGCUAGUUGGCGGGGCAAAGGCCCACCAAGGCGACGAUCCGUAGCUGGUCUGAGAGGAUGAUCAGCCACACUGGAACUGAGACACGGUCCAGACUCCUACGGGAGGCAGCAGUGGGGAAUAUUGGACAAUGGGCGCAAGCCUGAUCCAGCCAUACCGCGUGGGUAAAGAAGGCCUUCGGGUUGUAAAGCCCUUUUGUUGGGAAAGAAAAGCAGCAGGUUAAUACCCCGCUGUUCUGACGGUACCCAAAGAAUAAGCACCGGCUAACUUCGUG
rnacentral:rRNA from 1 species